rnacentral:tRNA from 1 species
CCAUCGGUGGUUCAGUGGUAGAAUGCUCCACGCGGACGGCCCGGGUUCGAUUUCCGGCCGAUGCU